CCUACGGGUGGCAGCAGUGGGGAAUAUUGCGCAAUGGGCGAAAGCCUGACGCAGCGACGCCGCGUGAGGGAUGAAGGUCCUCGGAUCGUAAACCUCUGUCAGCAGGGAAGAACGGUCACUGUGCUAAUCAGCAGUGAAUUGACGGUACCUGCAAAGGAAGCACCGGCUAACUCCGUGCCAGCAGCCGCGGUAAUACGGGGGGUGCGAGCGUUAAUCGGAAGUACUGGGCGUAAAGCGCUCGUAGGCGGUAUGUCAAGUCAAGGGUGAAAGCCCGGGGCUCAACGUGGGAACUGCCUUUGAAACUGGGAGACUGGAGUGUAGGAGAGGAUAGUGGAAGUCCAGGUGUAGGGGUGAAAUCCGUAGAUAUCUGGAGGAACAUCGGUGGCGAAGGCGACUAUCUGGAACAUAACUGACGCUGAGGAGCGAAAGCGUGGGUAGCAAACAGGAUUAGAUACCCUUGUAGUC
rnacentral:rRNA from 1 species